GAGGCUCAGCAGCCUGAGCACUAGCUGGCUGCAGCUGCGGCUCUUCAGGUCCCAGCACUAGCUCGUUGAGGGUUAGCUCAGAGCUGCCUUGGGAGAGUUGUCUUACUGUGUGGGUGGUAGAGAGCUGUGCCUCUCCAAGUGGAAGGUGACUCGAGGCAGCACGAGCAGUCUCAUGGGAUACGCAGCAGUAGGGUUCAGCACACCUGGCCAAAAGCUCAUCGUUGUUAUGUGAGUCAGCAGAUGGAAGCAGCUCUCCUGCUAAAUGUGCUGAUCCCAGGAAGCUGUCACUGUAUCCUGCCUGCUGCAGAGGAGUUACGUGCGUUGCAGUGACAGCAUGUCAGUCUCUGGCAAUGAAACACAGCAUAAGAAGUGAUGCUCACUUGUGUGAGAGAGGUGUAUGGUACCCAAGUGAUUUGCAUGAGCGCAGGAGGCACAGCUGGGAACAGCUUCGCCCUUCCCUAAUCCUGAGUAUGCAUGUGGGAAAGUGCUGA
rnacentral:lncRNA from 1 species